rnacentral:rRNA from 1 species
AUGCAUAAACAUGCUAUUGAUGUGCCAUAUACUUGUAUGCUCAAUUUGCAUCCCCAUCGUGUUAUAUACAAUAACUAUUCUUUCAUGAUGGAUGACAUGUUCUUAUACCAUGCAUCAAAUUUCUUUGAGCGAUGCUUAUCUUGUGCUAACUUUCACCUGCACAUACACAUCAUGAUGGAUGAUGUGUACAUUUACCACACACACAAUUUCUUUCGUUUCUGUUUCUUUUGUGUAGGUACCCAUGAAUACUUGUCAACCUCGCAAUCCCACGAGUUGACAAAACAAGCUCUAGAGAGCAAUGAUGACUUGGGAUCCCAUGGAUUGCCUUUCCCACCGCUCUCUUCGCGCAAAUACUUCGCGCAUUUCUUCUACAUGGCCCUCACUUGGCUAUGGGUUGUUGUCCAUUAUAUAUCGUUUGCCCAUCUUGCCAUGUUCACUUUGCAUGAUAUGUUCAUUCAUAUGCUUUUGCCAUGCAUUUGUGACCCAUGCUUUGCAUUACACAUGAUGAUUGAUUCUCAUACUUGUAUGUGUAUUUGCAAGCUUGGUGGAGAUAUUGCUUGUUAUUGCGAUGUUUGGUUUGUACCCCAUGCCUAUGAUGAUACUUUCAUCUUGCUUUGUGUUUGUGCUUGCGAUAUGUCAUGUGCAUUUCCUAUUCCUAUUAUUUUCUCUCAUGACAUGAUUGCCAUGAUUUACUGUAGUAUGUUGCAUCUUCGCACUACUAGCUUGCAGGACUUGAUUACUAUGAUUGACUUGAUUGCCUCGCACAUGAUGAACAAUUGCUCUUUCUAUUGUGUUGAGUGCCACACUAUAUUCACUACACCACAUGCACAUUAUGCUUGGAUUGUCUUGCACUUGACCCAUGUGUUUAGACACUUCAUUUUACUUGGUGUUGUGAAUGAUUCAUAUGCCUACCAUCGACCUUACAUUGAGCAAUUUGUGAAUGCUUGCUAUGAACUUGAGGUAGAUGCUUCUUCUCUUGUCACACAUAUUUGCAUCACUACCUCACAUUCACAAGCUUGUUUCCAUGAUGUCCUUCUUUGUGCUCAAUUUAUGUGCUUACAUACCAUGUCACAAUCCUUUGUCACACCAUAUGCUAUGCUUGAUGACAACACUUGUUGGGUGAAUCACCUCUUGAAUGCUUGGUUUUGCACUAACGCUAACCGCAUUUGUUUUUCCAAGUGUUUGUUCUCCUUUCUCCUUUUGAAGGACUCAUGA